AUUGAACGCUGGCGGCAGGCCUAACACAUGCAAGUCGAACGGUAACAGGAAGAAGCUUGCUUCUUUGCUGACGAGUGGCGGACGGGUGAGUAAUGUCUGGGAAACUGCCUGAUGGAGGGGGAUAACUACUGGAAACGGUAGCUAAUACCGCAUAACGUCGCAAGACCAAAGAGGGGGACCUUCGGGCCUUUUGCCAUCGGAUUUGCCCAGAUGGGAUUAGCUAGUAGGUGGGGUAACGGCUCACCUAGGCGACGAUCCCUAGCUGGUCUGAGAGGAUGACCAGCCACACUGGAACUGAGACACGGUCCAGACUCCUACGGGAGGCAGCAGUGGGGAAUAUUGCACAAUGGGCGCAAGCCUGAUGCAGCCAUGCCGCGUGUAUGAAGAAGGCCUUCGGGUUGUAAAGUACUUUCAGCGGGGAGGAAGGGAGUAAAGUUAAUACCUUUGCUCAUUGACGUUACCCGCAGAAGAAGCACCGGCUAACUCCGUG
rnacentral:rRNA from 1 species